rnacentral:rRNA from 1 species
UACGGGGGGAGCAAGCGUUGUUCGGAUUUACUGGGCGUAAAGGGCGCGUAGGCGGCGCCGCAAGUCACUUGUGAAAUCUCCGGGCUCAACUCGGAACGACCAAGUGAUACUGCGGUGCUAGAGUGCGGAAGGGGCAACUGGAAUUCUUGGUGUAGCGGUGAAAUGCGUAGAUAUCAAGAGGAACACCUGCGGCGAAGGCGGGUUGCUGGGCCGACACUGACGCUGAGGCGCGAAAGCUAGGGGAGCGAACGGG